UGUGAUAAAGUAGUGGUCAUUGGAGUUUG
rnacentral:piRNA from 1 species